rnacentral:rRNA from 1 species
CACGUAGGGUGCGAGCGUUGUCCGGAAUUAUUGGGCGUAAAGAGCUCGUAGGCGGUGUGUCGCGUCGGCCGUGAAAACCUGCAGCUUAACUGUGGGCUUGCGGUCGAUACGGGCAUCACUGGAGUUCGGCAGGGGAGACUGGAAUUCCUGGUGUAGCGGUGGAAUGCGCAGAUAUCAGGAGGAACACCGGUGGCGAAGGCGGGUCGCUGGGCAGGAACUGACGCUGAGGAGCGAAAGCGUGGGGAGCGAACAGG